rnacentral:lncRNA from 1 species
GGUAAAAUGAUAUAUAUUUUGUUUACAGUGGCUUAAACGAGUCCACGAUGAGAUGAGUGGUUAAAGUGAGAUAUUUUGAGGUAAUGGGUGGCGUGUUUGAUAUAUAACCCGUUAAAACGUUCAGGUCUAUAGGGUUAUGUUUGUAAAGAGAAUUGGAUUUUAGGAUCUGUGGUUGUGGCAAAGGUAAUUUUAUUACCUUUUCUAUUCUUUUGGGAUGUCUGAUUAUAAAUUGCCCUUUCUAAGUUUGUUCACCUGUUCUGUUUGUUCUUUGUCGUUUGUAUUGAGUCUACCAAAAUAUAAGUUUAAUGCAUAUUGUUAAUUUCACCCUGGGAUAUUUUUAUGCUGCUGUUUGGGCAAUUAAUUCUGGUUAUUUUCGUUAUUUUUGUUUGUAGUGCCAACACUGUAGAAUGGCAUGCCUCUCAAAAGUGAAGAAAACAAUCGGGAAGAUCAGAGUUGAAGGUAUGGAUUAUUAAUUAGUUUGAUGCAGUUCACACAGUGCUAAUUUCCUGAAAUAUGAUUGUAUAUGCUUAAAUAGUUCUGAGCAUGGUCUUUGUGCAUUCAAAGUGAGUAAAUAAUCCCAGAAGAACUAUGCCAGUUCAAAUAGUUUAAAGUCACUAUCAUUUGACAUUGAAGUCAUAUCAUAGAUGAUUGUGUUUACAAUCUUCCUUCAAAUAAAUUUAUGUAUUUUUGUUUUAAAGUUUCUAGAUUGAGUAUAUAUCAUUGCACUCUUAUUGCUGCAUCAUUUAGACCACAUGUAAAGCAAGUUGUAUAUAUUAUGAUAAAAUAAAACUCAAUUUGCUUCUCAUGCUUAAUGAAUUCUAAACAUAUUUUCUUCAGGGUUUAUGGUAUUGCUUGGGCAUGGAAGAUUAAUAUUAAUAUAAUAUUAAUGUUAAUUAGCAGAUGGGACUAUUUUGUCCAGCAGAUGGACAAAUUUGGUAUUGCAGCAAAUGUGACCUUUUUGUUCAGCAGAUGGAGAAGUUUGGUAUUGCAGGAGAAGUAGGUGUGUUGGCGGGUUUUUAUUUCAGUUUUUCUCGGAGUUGUGGCUGGCUUGUGUUUGGAAAUACACAAAUUAGUCAUUCUUGGUUGAAAUUGUAUUUUGCUUGUACUUUUAAAAAUUGAUUGUAAUUUAAAUUAUAUUAGCUAUAAUAUAGGCCCG